UAUUGGUAGUAUACACCAUCUGGUUGAUGCCUUUUGUUUCUACCCCUAUCUCAAGAAGUCCAUUAUAAAGAAAUAAAUCGGUAAAUUUGGUUGAUUGAAGAUAUCACUGUGAUCGAAGACUAAUGCGAUUGCAUGAAAUACACUUGUGGUGGUAUUUCUUGGCGGAUCCAAGAUAUUCUCCAUUCUUGUUUACUUUAACUAGCCUGCCAUAUGCUAUUUUACAUCUUGCAUUAUUGCUGACAAAUAUAGUUUCAGCAUCACAUUCUCUCCAUUUUCUUGCCUGUUUGUUGUAAAAUUUCUGUUUAGUUUUUUA
rnacentral:lncRNA from 1 species